GGUCUCAUCGGACAUUCCUUCUAUGCGAAGGAGGUCACAGACUCGAUAAAACUCUCUUAGGUGUGUGUAUGGGUUUUCCUCACCUUCUCCUGAGAAAGGUUGUUUUUGAACAAAUUCUAUGUAUUCGGAAUCUUUCUCAAAACUAGAUGCUAUGAUAGGCUUUGAAGAUUUUGGUGGUUCGAGAUGUGUGCCCGUAGGUCUAUGAAAUUCAAAGAUAGACAUGUUUGAAUUCAUGAUAGACCAGAGAUCAAGGAUUAGAUAAGAAGAAAGAUUAACAGAGAUGAGGCAAAAGAUAAAAGGAAAAUAUUUUUUUAUUUUUUUUAGAAAAUGAUUAAGCUAGUUCGUAGUCAACUCAGCAACCGUUUCCCCGGCAACGGCGCCAAAAAUGCUUGUUGACACUUGCUAACACCACUUGAAUACUAGGUUGUCAUCCCCAGCAUGGCACUAGAGUGUACUAUGGUAUUUAUACGCACACAGAUAAUCCGCAAUCGCACGGAUACCGUUAUAGCUUUUACCCGGUUAAAGGUUUUAUCGUAUCCACAGGGAAACGGGAGAACUGAUCUACGCUCUAACUUAACCAAGAUAAGUAAAUAGGUGUAAAUAGGAAAGAUGGUAGAAUCGAAUAAGAACAAUAUUAAAGGUAAGAUAACAGUGAGUGAUAAUAUGGGAAUAGAGAAUAGAGCAAUUCUAGUAUAUGGGCGAUGGUAGCAGAAUGGAGAGGAUAACUAUGGUUUCUCUACUUCAAAGGGGUAUGUCUAUGUCUAGGACGAACCACGUGAUAAGAGUACACCACAAAGGAUGCUUAUCCUUAGGCCGAUAAACCCUACCCGUCCUGCUAACGAGAGGUGGACUACAGAGGACCAACGUAACUGUCACCUACGCGGCCUACCACA
rnacentral:lncRNA from 1 species